GGCUCAGAUUGAACGCUGGCGGCAGGCCUAACACAUGCAAGUCGAGCGGUAGAGAGAAGCUUGCUUCUCUUGAGAGCGGCGGACGGGUGAGUAAUACCUAGGAAUCUGCCUGAUAGUGGGGGAUAACGUUCGGAAACGGACGCUAAUACCGCAUACGUCCUACGGGAGAAAGCAGGGGACCUUCGGGCCUUGCGCUAUCAGAUGAGCCUAGGUCGGAUUAGCUAGUUGGUGAGGUAAUGGCUCACCAAGGCUACGAUCCGUAACUGGUCUGAGAGGAUGAUCAGUCACACUGGAACUGAGACACGGUCCAGACUCCUACGGGAGGCAGCAGUGGGGAAUAUUGGACAAUGGGCGAAAGCCUGAUCCAGCCAUGCCGCGUGUGUGAAGAAGGUCUUCGGAUUGUAAAGCACUUUAAGUUGGGAGGAAGGGCAGUUACCUAAUACGUGACUGUCUUGACGUUACCGACAGAAUAAGCACCGGCUAACUCUGUGCCA
rnacentral:rRNA from 1 species